CAAACUUUGCUCUGGCUGCGCGGAGUCGCCUCUCUGUCCGUGUGUGUACCUACACGCACACGUGUGCGUUUGUGUGUGCGUGUCCGCGUCGCUGGGGCUGCGCCGGGGCACUGCCGCUCCUCUCCCUUCGCAGCCAAGAGCCCGCCGAGGAGGGCACAGGCACUAGCGGCAUCCCCGGGAAGGGCGGACAGACCUGCUUUUUUAGGGCUGCUUUGUUGAGCCUUCCCCAUCGCCACAUGGUGCUGCUCCGGUGUGGGAAGUGUGCGAGGGGCUGACCAGGCUCUGCCCGUGCCCGCAUCGGACGAAGGGCAGAAUUAAGACAUCCCCAUUGAAUCCAGCAAGUGCCCGGCAGAAACGAGUAGUAGCCCCCGAGAGACGGGGAGAAACCCGCCGGGCUCAGCUCGUCCCAGUUUCGGACCGGUAAAUGGAGCCGAGCAGUAACGGGGAUUCACCCCUCCACCCUGUCCCGUUCCUCCAGCGCCGCGCUGCCCCGUUAGCUCCCGGCUGAUCCGGCAUCCCCCGGCGACAGGGCACGGGUGCAGUAAAAAAAAAUCAUCCAGACAAAAGCAGGCGCUGCGCUUGGGGAACGUCAGGAUCCGCAACUUUUAUUUUACGAACACGAUGGGCGCACAUUUUGCAGGAAACAACUUCCCAGUAUUUUGGCAUCGGAAAAGUGCGCUUUGUGCUUUGCACAUGCCCCGUCAGGUUGCUAAACCUUCAAGCGCCGGGAGCCGGAGGAACGGGAACAUGUGGAUGCUCAAUCCGUUUUCGGCAGAUGCUGGGCUCGGCACGGCCGGCCGGGACACGGGCGCGCUGAGCCCGGCUGCCCACGCCGCCGCCCGCGGCUCUGCGAAAUCGUCCUCGAACGGGUAAUUAAAAUCCAGCUGAGAAAUUAGACCCUCCAAACCCCGAGGAAGGGAGCAAGGUAGCGGGAAACGGGAGAUGGACUUGCCAAGUCGAACAAGUGCGUGAAAUAAAUGAUCGAGAAAGGAGGAAAUUAGAAAUGUAACUUUUGGGAAAGGGCUUAAUUGUGCAGCGCUCCGCAGAUGCAGGGAGACCCCCUCUCUCCUGGAGACGGCUGCAGAGAGGCGAUGGGGCAGCGGUUGUUUGGAAAACGACAGACAACUCGGGGAUGGUUCCUGAGCGGAGAUGCGCAUCCCCGCAUCCCUCCCGCCCCUCUUCCCUUUCCUGGCGCUCGGCGGGCACCGGACACCCGGGCCGGGCAAAGCUGUUCCGGGACGGUCCCGUUCUGAAAAAAAAAACAAAACAAAACCCUUCUCUGAGAGGCUGGGCGUUGCAGCCCGCUCUCCCGACGGGACGGGGCGGCGCGGCCCGGGAGCAGGCAGGGACCCCGCCGCAGGAGCCGGCAGCGCGGCCACUCCUCUGUUCCAUUGCCGUGUCCCUCUGGAAAAGCAGCCUCCGCCGUGCCUUUACGUGGGCUAGAGUCUUUCCCGGAUCGGUUUUUUGGUGGAAGGAUUUUGAAGGCAAAAAAAGGGCCGGGGUGGGGGCGGCGGGACCGGGGCGGGGGAAUGUGUGUGUGGAAACCGUAAUGAUUUACGACAAAAAGAUAAACUCAGGAAACGUCAACUCCAACGUCAGAUUUGACUGGAGACAGCACAAAGCUGUCGCUUUACUCGCAGUCCUUGGGGCACGGCCGGAGGCGGGGGGCAAGGCCCGGGGUGUGGGGACGCCCCACGGUGGCCCCGCUGUCGCCCCGGCGGGACCCGCCGCCCUCCCCGGGCCACCGGGAGCUCGCCGAGCCCGGCACCCGGCUCCGCGGCGCCUACCGCGCCUUCGGUGCUUCCCUAGGGGCGGUUUUUGCGCUUUAGGUGUUCCUUCUUUUUUCCUCUUUUGCUUUUAGCGUGAGUUUGUAUUUUCCCGUGGUUUUGUUUCUGUUUUCUGUUGUUUGCUCGCUUUGUUGUUUAAUUUUGGACAGGUUUUGCUGGGGGUUUUUUUUGGUCGUUUGAGAGGGUUUCAGCGUUUCAGAGGGAGUUGAGGAGUUUUUAUUUGUUGGGGGUUUUUUUGCAUUUUCAGCGUUGAAGGGACCCGCACCCCGAGCACCCCCCGACGGCCAGCCCGGCUUGCCCAGGGCGGGGUGCGGGGCGGGCAGACGGGCCCCGGGCGGGCUGAGCUCCAGCGCUCGGGGAGCGGGACGAGCCCCGCGGAGCUUCAGCGGGGCUGAGCGGGGGGGCCCGGGGUGCCAGUGCCGACCCCUCCGGGCGCAGCAAGGAGGGCUGGGGACACAGGACACUCUGGCGAGCGAAGCGGGGCCGCCGCCGGCGCCCCUAUAUAGGGAAGGGCGGGAGUGGGGCGGGGCGGCGGCGCCUUUGAUGUCCCGCCGGCGGCCCCUUUCAUCCCCCCCCGGUUCCCCCCCCGAGCUCUUUGUGUGACUAAAUUUGGCAGGAGCAUGGAGGCGCGCCAGGGCGCCCACGUGUGCGCCGAGCUCCCAGCUGAGAGAGCCGGGGUUUUCUUCCGGGUAAGGAGACAGCGGGGGAGAUCAAAGAGUUUGGGGAGCUGGAGCCGAAAUGUGCAGUGGAAAUAAAGUAAAAUUAAAUAAAUAAUUAAAUAAAUAAUAGAAAAGAGGGGGGAGGAAAAUUCCUCCGUCCUGGACGCGUGCCAGUCAGAGGCAAGGGGGAGCGGGGCGAGCACAGAGUGGUCGGGGGGCCCGGCGGGAGGGAGGAGGGGGAAAAAUAUUCUCGGAAAAGGGGGUUGCAGUUGUUUUCUAAAAAGAAAAAAAUAAUAAAAACUAACCAGCGAACCAAGAGACCAAGCCUUUUGUUCAAAGCCGCCGGGCUGUGGAGCCAAGCCGGGAAGAGCCGCCCGACAGCGCGUCCAGGAGCGCGGCCGGGCCAGGGGCAGAACUCCUUCGUACUGCCUGAGGAAGGGCAACCAGCGGCAAAUAUCCCUUCUCCCGCCCCCGAGGCCGGUCCGGAGGCUCGAAGGGAGUCCUUCUAGGCAAACCCCCCGCGGUUUUUUCUCCCCCCGGGAAGCGAUGCCGAGGGUGGUCCCCCGAGGGGAGGGUGCCCGGGGGCCAGGCACCCUUUGCGGCAGCCCACGCCGCUCCCCGCGCUGCCGAGGGACAGCAGCGCCUCUUCCCGAGCCGUGCUGGCACAGCCGGGCUGCGCCACGGGCAUCCCCGGGGCCCCGCUGCCGCCCGGCGCAUCCUGCCGCCCCGGGCCUGCGGGGACGUCACCCGGCUCUCGCCGCUCCCUCAGGACUGCAAAGCGCAACGAAGAAUGUUGGGUUUUAAAGUUUCCCAAAGCGAGCCUUCUCGGUGCCUUUUCAAGGCAAUGUGAGUGAAUUAUGCGUGUUCCCCGGGUCUGCGUUUGCCACCCCAUUUAGAUAACACCCGUGAUUUAUGUGCGAGUUGAAUAUAUAGGCUGAAUUCCCAAAUUCCUUCUGAAGCAAAUAAAUCCUCCUCACUCAGGACAUGGGGGUGAGCAGAGCCAGAGCACGGAUGUGAUGAUCAGCCCUGGCUCUGCAGAGUUAUUGCUGGUGUCCUGCACAUCUCAGUGCUGCACAGCAUCACUGGGGAGCCAGCCCCAGCCUCAGGUUGUAUGGAUCUGUUUGCAAAUAUGGACCUGUUCUGUGCCUCUACAACAAGGAGAAUACUUCUAAGGCAUUUUUUUACUCUGUGAGAAUAAAUUCAUUCUUGUGUUUAAAGAGACUCUUCUGAUGAUCGCCAUAGGGAAAGCUCUAAAUAAGAGAUCAGGAUUUUUGGGGGCAAAACCCAGUGUCCUCCCUCACUCUUAUGUUGUACCAGGCACAGUCCCUUUGGUGGUGCAGUCCCUUUUACAAGCACAGUGUCCAGAUAUCUGGCAUACCUUUGGGUUUGGGUCCAGGUUUGGGUUGCAGACACUGUGGCUCACACUCCAUGGCCUAUGUCCCUCGGGUGGGUCACCUGCCGUGGCCUCCAGAUGAUGCUGAUGCCAGUGCCUGGUGGCCUUCAGGGAACUUAGGUGUGGUGUGGAGGGGAUUUCUCAUUGCACUUGUGAUCAUUCCUGUCAUGGUGGCUGAAAGGGAUUCUUUCCAACAGUCAAGUAAAGAGGAUUCUGCUGAGUGAAGGGAACAAUUCUGUGUUUGGUGCAGAUUUAUAUUUUAAAUGGAGAAAAAAACCAAAAAGGGAAUAAUAUGUUCUGGUUUUGAAGACUCAUUUACCAUGAGCCUUUAUGAAAUACGGGCUCAUUUUUCAAAUUUAUAACAAAGGGCAUCCUGGCUAUGUUUCUAGCAGCUAUAUCAAAGAGUAACUGCACUUCUCAUUUAAAGCUACUUUGAAAGAGAUCACAUGUAAUAGGUAUUAGGAUAUUAAGAGUGUAUAUGUGCUUUUUGCUUUUUAAUUUACACAUCCAGCUUUCCAGUUCUGGGAUGCCAUUAAUGUUCUUAGCCCAGAAUUACUCUAUUUAAAGAGCUAGGUUUUCUUAGCUCUUGCAACAACAUGGGCUUUAUGAGAUUUGAGUGGGCAAAUCUUACCCGUGCAUUUUUACUGUAAGAGCUUUUGUUUAGAGGAAGGCAUUGGUGGCUCAGAUCUCACGAACAUGUUGCUAUCUUAUUUUGAGAUUAAAAUAGGUAGUAGUUAAUGGCUUCUUUUUUUUUCUUCUUCUUCUUUUUUUUUAAUUAAGUGCAAGAUAAAAUACAGGGCAAGUGGCAUGGAUUAUUCAAAUAAAUGAUGACACAAAGUAGCUUGCAAACUAACCCUUACAUUGUGCAGUGCAGUUGCAGGAUUAUUUCUGAUGACUCAUCAGAUCAGAUAAUCCACAGCAUGUGGAUAAAAGGGGACGCAGGACUCAGAACUAAACCCAGAAAUCCACUCUUGGAAAAAUGCAAAAUGUGAGGUUAAUGUUGUAUUAAAGGUAAGACCUGGAAAGGGCACAGCAACAUGCUGCCCCCCAGCAGGGAUUUUUAGCCUGGCAUUUUUGAAAGGACCAAAGAGAUGUUCAAAGGGAGUGGAGUAAAAUAUCCCUGAAGGGGCCUUUGAAAAUCCAAACUUUAGUAGUUUUGUGGGACGCCACAUUAAUGUGAGAUUCUAGCAGAAGAAAUGUGUUUUAAUUUCAGAGUAGCAGUUUUGCCCAUUUACGUCAACAUUUCCUACUUUCUAAGAGGGGGAAGUUCUGCUCCUGGAUAAAUAAAUGUUAUUCGUGUCCCAGAACGGAUGAGAUUUUCUCCAUCCCCGGGAGCCAGGAUGCCACACCCAGGGGCAGUGUCUGUGGGCAGGCUUUCAAAGGCCCCUCCAACCGAGUCCUGCUUCUGCACCUCUAGCUUGGACUCAGAAGUGCUGGUGAGUGUCUCACGCUGCAACUUCUUGGAUGCACCAGGGAAAGCCCCUCAGGGCCUUCUGCUGGGGUUUUGUGCACGUGUCAUUGGAAGCCUUAUGCUGGGAAUGUUGAUUUCUAUUUGUACUUAAUUGUACAGUGCAAAAUUAGUAUCUGGAGCCCCAUAAGUAUAUGAGGUGUUUUGUAAAGCAGUCACCCUUUUACAAUAGCCCUUGGCUUGGUUCUAGCUUGACCUGUUUUGGAAUUCAGCAUACACCAAUUGAUGUGUUCUGCCAAAUAUAUAAUGAACACGCAGAGCUGACUGUGCACCAGUGUUUCCUUCUAGCUUUUGAAAUGGUGAUCGUUCCCUUUCUGGGCUCCCAACGAAAUCAAAGCAUCUUGUAAUCCUUUGCUUGUUUUUAAGUGACAGUAGUCCUCUGUUCCCUGACAAAUAUUGCCAGCAGAAGCCUGGUAGCUCCAGACAAGGUCCUUUGAAAGAGGUGGGAGGGGAGAGAGGCUCUGCAGGCAACUUUCCAGCAGCAGCUGUGCACUAACGGCAUGGGAGUGUGGGAGGCUACUCCCGGGUUAGUAAGACAGUUCAGCAAUGCAGUGAAUGUCUGCUCGCAGUACAUGACUCCUAUUUACUUUUUUUUUAAUUCCCUGACCUUUGUCUGACCAAAUCCAUCGGCGAAACGCAGCUGGAUGGGGAGGGGACCAGCAGCCAGGCUGUACCAAGGAUCUUGCUGCCUCAGUGAAACACGCGGCACUCCCCCAGGGAAAAUGUUUGAGGCAAGUAACGAGGUGGCGAAUUUUCCUUCUUGCUGAGAAAGGUAUUUGGAGUUGGAUCUUAUUUUACUGUACCAUCUCUCACUUUCCAUGGAAGUAAGUGCCAUUAAUUUGCCUGGCAGAGGUAUUAAACUGUAACAGCUGAAUGCCAGUCAAAGGCAUCACUGUUUGAUAGGGAAGUGCCAGAGAAAGAGGAGUUUGCAGGAGUCUGGGGUGUUGUUCAGAGCCUUGUGAUCUCAGCUUCAUCACAGCUUCACAGUUUCAGGUCUGGUAAUGAUCUGAAAAUACAAGUCUUCAUGGUGACUGGAAGGUAGAGAGGAACAACCCAUAGGGACAGCAGCUAGGGCUCACCUUUUGAUGAAGGGCAUUUCAUCUGGUCAUUUCACCUUAGCUCCAUUUUCCUUUGAGUGGGUCUCAUGGACCACUUGUGCCCACAUCCAGGGGAAAUAGGCAAUUUUGGCUUCCAAUUAAGAGUUUCAGAAAGACUCUCAAAGACGAAGGGGAGUAAAGAAAUGCGAGCAAAAGUUCUGCAAGUUGUCAAAGGAGAACAUCACAUGCAAGGAGAUUUCAGUCAAAUCCUGCAGACCCUGACUCACAAUUGUGCUGGAGCAGGGACCUACACACGAGACCCUGUGCUGAAAAAGAGCUGAUGAGUGUGGCACUAAGGACAGUGUGGGGUAGAGGAGAAAAUUGUAACUGAAUGGUGUGACUUAAAAUUCCAAAAUUCCCUGUGUUGUGCUGCUCUGAGUUACCCAGAUCGCUUGCGGUUCCUGCUGAGCUCAGCCAGAGCAUGGGUGCUCAGGCUGUCUUCAAAUAAGCCCUGCGUAAGGAGGAGAAUGGUUUCUGCCCUGCUGGAGAAGGGUAAAGAGACAGGGGGACCCUUUAGGCUGGCUGGGCUAUUGCAGAGGGUGGAAGCAAGGGUUCAGAUUGUGGCCUUUGUUGCUCAUCUGCCAGGUUACACCAUGACUGAUCAGCUUUGAGCCUGUACAUCUCCAGAGAAAGCUGUGCUUUCUCUCCUGUUUCUACCUCGCCUCCUGUGCUGCUUUGUGCUGGUCAGAAGGAAGGAGCAGCUGCAAAACUUGCACGUCUGGGUGAGCCUCCAGUCGGCAGCUGAGCCGACAGCCCGUGCCCAUGCAGCAAGGCUUUUCAACAAGAGACUCCAGAUAAUAAUACUCUUCCUGGCUAAAAGAUUUUAAUAACUUUUACUAACUUCAGCACCUUUUCAAACAAUGUGUAAUUAAAUUAUGAAGUUUCUUGCUGCAAGAUAUUGUGGAGUCUGACAGGAUGAAUGGAUUCAGAAAAGGAUUAAGCAAAUUCAUUUUGUCUAUGAAACAACCAGUUGGAUACAACUUCCAGCCUAAAAACUCCCUGAACCUCCAACUGCAGGCAGUCAUUCUGGGCACACGGAAGGUGAUGCAGCAGACGAGUGCAGACUGGAAAAUGAAAACCUGCAGAAAAUUACUCAAAUGCAUGCUGUGAUGGAAAAGUCAGGAUCUGAAUUUGCAGCAUGCCGUCAGUCACUGGCCUCAAGCUAUAACCAAGAUUGGUACCAGCUGAUGUAUGCAUGCUGCUACUUAUGUUGAUAAUGAAAUAAAACUUUCCCUGCUUUAUUUGUCUGUCCCUUGAGGAAUUCAGUUUUUCAGACCUCUCUCACAGCCAAGACUACUUUUAUUACAUUUAUUUAUGUUUGCUGGCUGUGAAGCAUCUAAAUAGUGUUUCAUUUAAAAAAAUCUUUAUACGAGAAAGAUCAGAAGCGUUCUGUGGUAUUUAUUUUUCUUUAAAGAGGGUAUCUUUGGCAUGCAGACAGGUUGUGGCUCACCAUUAUAAGUUAGCAAAGGAUCAUCCAUGAGAUAUUAUCCAUAACCAGAAUAAUACUAGAUAACUAGAAAAAUCAGCUUUUAAUGGGAUUUCAUUUCAUGUAAGAUAUAUUAUUUUGAAUUUCAGUAAAGUUUUUCACUGAAUGCAAACAAACACCUUCUGAGUUCUCUUCCUCUUAAACACUGUGCAUUUAGCUCUGAUAUGGGCACAGGAUUCACCAGAUUAUUUUGCAUUAGAAGAGUGCUAUCUUUAGUGAGAGCAAUUAAGGCAAAGGGGCUGCAGGCCAAAGCACUGGAGCUGUAUAAGGAUAGCAGAAGCUGUAGAUUAAGCUGUAUAUUAAUUACUUGGUUCCCUACUUGGAGCUAUGAACAGUGAAUUCUUUAAUUUCAUGUUGCAUUUUUUAAGGUAGUUUGUGGUUCACUAAAACCCAAAGCAUUGGGAGGUUUUGCAGGUAGAUAUUAAAAUGGUGAAACUGCUACAGAUGUUCUGAAAAAAGCAACUGAAGCAGACUGCAGAGGUGGAUCCAGAGGGAUGGUGCAGGGCAGCACUUGGAGAUGUCCAGGUCCAUUGCUUUAUGCAAGCUCUUGCACAGGGCUGCAGCAAGGUGGGUCUACUUCAUUCACACCCUGACCUGGGCUGUGGAUUUGAUGUUGUGUGAAUGAAUGUCUGGUUUGGGCAGGAAGGUCUCCCCUCUUGCUCCACUCCCUGGUUUGUGGAGCUGCCCACACAGCCCCUGUUACACAUGGUAUGCUCUCCAAAUUAACAGAUUUCUGCCCCAGAGAAGCUUAUGCUCUGGAGGAAGUUUGUAUCUUUGAACUUAUUUGAGUUAUCCUCAUUUGGGGAAAUGAAUUCCUUCAGCUCAUUCUCAUCUCUCAGAAGCUCCUUGUCCCCUCAGUCACACUUUUGUCUCCCUUGUUACUGCUGCACAUCCUCCCUGUGGACUCUUCCCACAGCUGGGGAAGCCUGCAAGAUCCCUGGGGCUGCUCCCGAUUUCCCCCUGGCACCAGGGCAGCUGCCUCCUGCCCAGUGCCCGAGCAGGGGAGGGGGCCCUGUUAAUGUUACUUUGUUCAGUUGAUCUGGGGCUUGUCAAACAUGUGCCUUCAAAAGUCCUGGCUCUGACCUGGGAAACAGGUGGCACCUUAUUAGCCUUUUCAAAGGGAGCUCUCCUGACCUGCUGUGUAAUUUAGGCUCCUGUGAUAAAUAUAACUGAGCGUGGAGCGAUGCCUGUAACCAUCGUGCUUGGGCCAGUGCCUGCCUGUCAGCUCUGUGGGGCUCUGCACAACUGCAAGAGCUCCCACCAGGCAUCCUCCCACCAGGCUGAGGGGCUCUGCCUGUGGUGGCUGUCAUCUGUCAUGCAAGGAAAGCAUCCUUUGUGCCUUACUCCCAUCAAAAGCACAAAUACCCAUUUACUAUGUGGUAGAGGAGGAAACGGCAGCAACACUCUUCACACUGAUUCUGAGAUCCGUCCCUACCACAGAGCCACAGAAUCAAUGGUGUUGGAAAAGACCUCUGAAAUGUUUGAGUCCAGCCUGUGGCUGAGCGCCACCAUGUCAACUAAGCCAUGCCACCAAGUGCCACAUCCAGUCUUUUCCUAAACACCUCCAGAGACAGUGACUCCACCACCUCCAUGUGUAGCCUGUUCCAGUAUCCAAAUUUCCUGAUAGUAGACAUUAGUGUAAUGUAAGUGUGUAAUAGUUAACAUUUUACUUCUCUGCCAGCUUUCUUCUGUCAGGAGCUUAAAUGCCAGCCAUCACCUGGGUGAUGUGGCAAAUGCAUGGCUUGAGAUUGACCCGAGGGCUGAGCUUCCUUCAAAAUUGCUGUAUGGCAGGAGGAUCCCAGAGACAUGGGUACCAUCAGGCCAAGGAAGUGUGCCCAACAGGAUUAUUUCCACAAUCUCUCCCUGGAAAGGCAAGAGGCAGCCAAACCAUGACAUUUUAUUUGUUGCCUGCUUGCCCUGCCCGAGUUUAGACCACGUAGCUGUGGGACAAUGUGAGCACACCUAGCUGGGCUGGGGUGGUGGCUGUGCUUUCCCUCAGCAAUGAAAGAUUUUCUACUGUGCAAAUUAUUGUGCUGGGCUGUGUCAGUAAUGAAAGUUUAGCCCAGGAGGGGUAAACAGUCCACCAUCUCUUUUAUAAAGGUGAGUAGGUCUGUCCAUUCAGACACACCAGUAUAACCAGAAGGUGUUAUCAGUAGGCAUUUUUCAGGAAUAUUGAAUUUAUUUAAUUGACAUAAAAACUAUAAGGACAGCUCUCUAAGUUUGUAAGGCUUUAAAAGCUUAUACCAAGCUAAAUGGUUAGAAGGACACAAACCUGCUCACUGAACUCUCAGAAUUCACUUCUCUCUCAGAACACACCUCUGCUGGAUGCAGCCUAGAAACGUGAUUUACAGUCCAUGAUGAGCCUUUGCUGAUGCUGUCCUGGGGAAGGUGAGAAGAACUCUCCAUAAAGCUGAAGGAGCCUCACAACAACUACAGUACCCUGGAGCCCUUGUUCCUUCAAAUUUCACAGCAUCUGGCCCAAGCAGCUCUGUCAGGUGUGAUGGCUGUGGAGCAGUGCGUGCAGAAAAACUGUGAGCCAUUUGGAGCAAAGAAACCCGUAAGACCCCUGAGAGUAUGAUGUCACAUGGAAAUUUUAGGGGCACUCAAUAGUAACUGCACCUGCAUGUUAUUUAUCAGUUACGUUUUGGGGUUGUGUUGGCCUUUUUCUUUAUGUGCAUGAGGAUCUGCCCCACUUCUACCAAAUUCUUAGGUUGUUUGGCAGGAUUUGGUCAAGUACAUCAUCCCAUCAAGUUUGUGUGGGUUUUUCUGUGUUUCAACCUAGAAGUAAUUUUUUUUCAGCAAGAUUUUGGAGCAAGAUUUAUUUUCAGUUUCUUUGAGGCAGUUUGGAGCCAGAAAGGAACAAAAAAGCCUCCAAACACCAAAGGAAAUGGUGCCACUGAACAAAGGGUCUCUUGUUUGUAAACUUCCAUUUUAAAGUGUUGGUGCAUAUUCUACUGGAACAGUUUUUCAUUUUUCACUUAUACAGUCCAAUGUUUUAAAUACUAACCUAUUCAAGAGUCAAGUACUUUUUAGGGCCCUUUGGAGUGUCUUUUCAGUGCUGUGUCUGUUUCUGAGAAAGCUGAGCUGUCUUCACUCCUGUGUAUUGAUCCUCUUAGAUAAUGUAUCCAAAGAGAAAAAGGAGAGAGUGUUUCAGUUUGCAGAGAAGCACAGCUGAAGAGAGGGAGCUGAAUCUGUCCUGUAAUCUGUCAGCUGCAGAGCCUUCAUCACUGAAUGAUCCUCACCUCAUGUUUCUUGCAGCACAAGAGCAGGACUCUAUUUCAGAAAAAUAACAACCCAGGAACAAAAUAAAUUAAAAAAAACCCCCAACACUCCCUUGCUCCCCCCUCAGUUUUCCUUUGAAUCUGGAUGUGGUCUAACCAGUAGAAUUUUUUUUCUUUGCACUUUUACCUUAAUAUUUCUGUCUACAUUGCUGUGCCUCUCUCUGCCGCCAAAGCUAAGUGUUUGCUGAAUUAAAUAAACCAUGCUGCAUUGACAGAGCUCGUGAAUGCUGCUAUUGUCACCAGAAUCCCUUUUGCUGCUCUGACCCCAAAUCCUAAUGCCAACUGUGGUGCAGUCAUAAGUGAACAAGAAUUGAUCAUGCUGACGGGACUAAGAGACUCUCCAAAAGGUAAUUUUAUAGGCUGGUUUUGUCACCACAUGGCAAAACUUUGGAUAUGUUACAUCUGGUCCUGUUUGGAAUCACUCCUGUCUGUCAGAAAAGAUUUUUUUAAAAAAUAAAUGCUCAACACAUUCAAGAAAAGCUCUUGUCAUAUGGCUAAAAGCCCUCAAGUAAUCAUUUCAGUUACAGGGUCAUUAAUAAUAUUGGAUUUAAUGGAUUUCCAGUGUUUGCAUAAUGCAAUAGGGGAUCCACAAGGAAAUGGAUUGUUCCUGUCUGUAUUGUGGAGAAGAACUUAGGGUUGAUGCAAUAUAAAGUCUCUAAGAUCAAAAAUUAGAGUCAUUUCAGACAAGAUAGUUUAUUAAGUCCUGAACAAGAGAGGUCUGAAUUUUCAAACCAGAACUGUAAUAAUUAAAGUCUCCUAAUUUUGCAUGUCUGAAAUGCCUACAUGCUGUUGUAUAUUCCAGAUCCACAUAUUACUGAGAAGUUAAUAUAAAAUAUUGGGUCUACGCUUUUUUGUGUGAGGUCUAGAGACAAACACGUCCAACUUAGAAUCCAGCUGGUCUUUGUCCAACUACCCAGGAAAAGAACAUCCCACCUCAAAUCCCGUUAUUUCCUCUGGCUCCUGUUGUUACCUCUCCUUGUGGACAUGCUGAGCAGCAGCUGCAGCAGAAGAGCUGCUUUGGGAAGUUCUGGUGAGGAGCUGACAGCUCAGACCAGGACUGGAGUUCCAAAAGGGGCAUUGACCUAUGGAUUUCAAUUUCUCUUCCAACACAUUUGCAUGAGGAAGCACGAUAACCCUUUUUAGCGAUGUUUUCCUCUUCACUUUGUCUUCCUUUCUGACAAUAUAGCACAAACCCCUGGAUGUAGUUGUACAGAGAGCUGCUGCAGGAAUGACUCAAGCUGUCUGCAGACACUGUGUCCCACUGACACGCAACCUCACCUGGGGACUAGGGUUUCUCCCAAAAUGGGUACUCCCUGUGUGAGAAAGAAGGAGAAUUUUCUUCAUCCACCUUAAGGCACGAGGAGAAGUGUCCUAGUCUGUAAUAGUUUUAGGUUUGUAAGCAGAAGCUCUGGGCCAGCAGGGAUUGGGGGAGUGCCAGCUCUCCUGAGUUUGGAGGCAAUGCAAGAGCGUGGCAGGAGGAAAUCCCUUCCUUCCUCAGCCAGGGGAGACAGAGACCUGCAGCUUUUACCAAAUCUCGUGUUCAAACAGUGAUGUCAACCUCGCCGUGGCAGUGAUCAGCAGAGCCCAGGUUACCAUUUGACUCCUGCUAUGCAAGCAGAAGCUAGUACAAACCAAACUGACAAUUCACACCCCCCAGAAUUCAGAUUGCACCUCAGAAGUGACUCUUUAAAAGCUUUGGAAUUAUUAUUUCACCUGUAGUUGGAAUUUUUUUCUCCAGGCUUGACUUACAGUUUAUAAAUAUGUGAGACAGGCGAUUGGUAAUUCAGUUUAUAGUUUGUAUGAACCCUGAAGCUUAUGUCAAUGCUGUUAUCUAUUAUAGAAAUGCAAACAUGCUCUUUGAUGUGUUAUUCUCAGUGACUUGGGAGGAUAAAGACGGAAUACUCUAUGGGCAUUUGUAGAAGAAAUUCAGAAAUUGCAAGUCUACUAGAACCUAACAACAUAUUUUCAUUUAUUUUUUUUUGUCUCCUUUGCAAUAUGCUUGAUUACAGUAACUUAAAAACAAGAGAAAUAUUGCAUCCAUCUAGAUUUCUGCAGUAGGAGAGCCCAAACUGGCUCCCCUGCUAUGCCAAAAGCCCUUUUUUGAGUAUGCCAAACGUGUUUUGUGUUAUAGCAGAAGGGAAAUUUGGUGCCACAGAUGUAGGAUUUAUUCUGUUGGACAGAUUUCCUUGCUAUAGGAGCACCUCCUGCUGGCUCUGCACUGCGCUGCCCUUGGACUGCCCCUGUUUCCCAGACUUGGGAAUAAAAAGGAAGCCACGUGAGGUUUCUGGAGAUAGAGGAAAAUGGUCAGGGCAUCGUGGGACCAGUUCUGCUGCUGUGAAGGGUGAGAGGGAAAGGACUGACACUUCCCAGUCUGCUACAGACACACAUUUCUACAGUCCCUAGUGGGGUGUUGGUACUCCACGAACUCUGUUCAGGGCUAACACACUGUCUGCUCCCAAUGUCUGCAGUGACCCAGCUGAAGUCCGCAGAGCAGCUGGGAGUAAAACUUGGUAAUAAGGAGGUGAGAGAGAGCAAAAAGACAUUGUGUUUGACCCUGGUAGCUUCAGUUUGUCCAUGAAAAAUAGCUCACAAUGCUUUUCCACACAAAAUGCCUUUUUUUUUUAAUUUUUUUUUAAGAAGAAUGCAUAGUGGCUUUGUGGUCAUUUUAGUGAAUUUUAUUUUAUAUAAAAGCAAGAUAUUAAUAUGUCCUUUUUGAUUACUGCCACAAUAAGCAGCUUCAGUGGUUUUUUUCUCCAAGCAAUUUUUCCUUGAAGGUUUGUUUUAAUAUUUUUAGGAGGCAGUUAUAAAGUACUUUAAAAAAAAAUAAAGUCAGCCUACAAAUGAUAAGUUAAAGCUAAGUGAAAUAAGCUAUCCUGACCAGAGUGCUUUCCUUCCUUGGAAAACUAAACCAGUUGAAAAUACUUGCUGUCAUUCUGAUGCACAAGAAAAAUAAGUCCAAAAUAUCAACAUUUUCCCCAGAAUGAGAGCACUGCCAGCUCUGACAUGUUUGCUUUGGUGAUCAAAGCUCCUGGGAUGGCUGGAGAUGACAUGAAGAAAACGUGGUUUGUUCGUUUAAAUGCAGUGGGUGGGGAGCAAGAGAGAGCAGAGUGUUGUAGGGAGCAGGACUCAAACACAAAAUGAGCAGCAAAGAUCUGUUCAUCAACGCCUUCUCCUAGUACUAAGCAUUAGCACUGUAGCAACACUUAAAUUCUCCUGUUAUUGUUAUUCCUACAGCCUAUAAAGGGGCUGCUGAAAUAGGCACCAGUGAAGAAGCACAAGGAGACACAGCCCUUGUCUCUACAGCAGUUAAACUUCUGGUCUAUGAAGGGACGAUCCACGGUUUAUUAAAAAAGCGUUUUCUUCUUUACUGCCCCGUUGUAAUAUUUUGACACACCCUAGUGAAAGCCCAGCAGGGCACUGCGGUGCCGUGCUCUGUCUGGCUGUGUGUGCCCUCCGGCUGUCCCCGCAGCCCCUCCCUUGGUCGCUUGUCACUUGGGGCUGCUCCUGGGGACGGUGCCACCCGGCUGAGCGCCAGGGUCCAGGUGACACCUCAGAGUCAGCCCGGGCAAAUCUCAGUGCCCUCGGUCCUACAUCCUGUAUGGCACACAUUUUACAGGAAGAAAAAUUGGGAAAAAAAAGAUCAGAAAUACUGUAGAAAAUGGUUUAAAACUUCUCUGGAGCUACUUUGGUAAGUCUUGCUGCUUGUAAAGCCAGACUCCUUUUAUCUCAUAGGAACUCAAAGGCAGAAGAAAAUUAUGACUAAUAUAUUUUUUAGAAUUAGAAAAAAUUACCUAACCCCACAUAUUUGGAAUAUCAGAAUAUUACCAUUUAAGGCUGUGAAUUUCAAAAGAGCUUAUGGGAUUGUGGCACCCAGACCUACUCCUGCCCCCAUGGAAAUGCAUAUUAAUUUGCUAUCAACUUCCAUGCAAGGGAUCAAAACUCUUCAGCUCUCACUGAAUUUCCCUGGGAGGUUGGUGACUGUUGCAAAAAUCCCAGCUCAAACCUCCUCACUGUCACUCUCUUUUCAGCAGAAAUUCAGUGACUAUUGCGAAAAUCCCAGGCUGAACAAUCCGAUAACUCCUGGCUUUCAGGGCAGGAAGCAAACUCUGUGCAUCCUACCCAAACCAGCAGCAAUCUCUCUUCUCUUCCAGUGCAGAGGGAUUUCACACUUUUGCCUUUUACAUCCCUCAUGCUGGACAAAUAAUGACCUGGUUAUUGAGCCUGAUGGUGAUCAGAUUGUGAUGGGUUUCUGUUAUUUGGGCAUUGAGGAGAAUCCAUGUCUGGGCAAGAGAAAGCAAUCCUUGAUCUGGCUGUAGCAAUCCAUUUCUGUUAAAAUGGAAGGUUACUGUUUGAAAGGUGUCCAAAACCAGGAGGUCUCAUGAGCUGGGCUCGGGCUGGGGCAGUCCUAAACACACAUUCCCAGCCCUGUCACAAGCUCAGUUUCUUCUGCUCACAGAAGAAACAAACCUGCUUUACACAACAGCUCUGGAUCUCUGCUUGUUAGACAAAAAUGCUGCUUACAAACACAUAAACCAGCCGUGCUUGCCUGUGCUCUCAGAGCAAUGGUAAUUACAUUGAUUUUUGGUCAGUCCUGUCAUAUUUACUCCACCAAAUUGAUUAACCUAUGUAAUGAGUACAGGACUGUGACCAAUACUGACCCCACAUCAAAGCCUGAUAUUGCUGCAGUGUGCUGACCUGAAUUUUAAUUGUUCAGUAGGUUUGUAAUUAAACCGUAAAUGUGCUAAAGAAGAGAUUAGACAUUUCAGCUAGCAGUGUAUGUAUUUUUUCCCAGGUGUGCCAAUUGUGUACAUUAUAAAAUGUCCACUGCCUGCCUCAAUACACAAAGAUCUAACAACAUGCCAUUUCAUAGAUGAUUAAAGCGUCUUCAUUUUUUUUUUGCUUGAUAUAUUAAAAUAUGGAAAAAAUGUAAUUUGCAUCCUAAAAUUUUCUAUAUACAGUAUCGUGUAGCACUAAAGCUCUUGUAUAAAGGUAUAUAAAUAAAUCAACAAUGAAUAAAUUAGGACUUCAAGUCUCUGAGAAGUUCCCACAGGCUUGUACACUUGGUCCUCAGAGUCCAAAAGAACUAUUGCAGACAGAUGUGUUUUUGUUCUUCAGGAUCAUCAGUGUGGUACAUCUGUUGCUUCAGCCAGUGGCUAUGCCAGACUUGAGAGAAAACACGUUGCUCAUUAAAUGAAGACAACUAUCAUAAAUAAACGAGAACAUUUGGAAAACUACCCAUGCCUCACUUUUGUUUGGAAGAAACUUCUCUUUUGGAAGUUCUCGCAACAUAAAAGAGAGGAACUGCACUGCCUCAUUCCACAUGAUUCUUUCCUCUUUCAUUUUUCUGGAGAAGAACACGUGUUUCAACAUCUGGGUUUCCAGCAAAUGUUGCCUCCUACCUCAUGUGCCUGCUCCUUUGGCAAGGAGAAAUCCAGGGUCUCUGCUGGUGCAGCUCCCUGCUUUAUUUUCGACCACACAGAGGAGAUGGGAUUAGAAGAAGGUGGGUUAAUCUGGAAUUGGGUGGGCUGCGCUAGAAGGGAGCAACUGGGAAGAAGAUCCAUCUUUCAUUCAUAAAAUUUUGUUUGAAACACAUGGGGAAAAUUAGGAGCUACAUUUUCAUCUUCAUGAGCUGGGACUUGGGAGCCUGCCUUGAGAUUUAUUCAGGACCAUGAAUCUGGUUUGAAACUGUUCUUCUUUGGUGUGCUUGUACUUCUUCCAUCUUCCUGUGAUUUAUUCCAUCUUCUUGUGAUGGGUGUCACCAGAACUAAAAAAAGGUGAUUGACUCGUGGCUUUCAUUGUGAGCAGAGAGCUUGGCUGAAGGAAGAACAAGUCCAGGUUUCUUUCCUAGAGGAAGACUCUUGUGCAUAAAGAAUAAUAAGGGUGAGAUGAUAAAAUGUGUCAUGUUUGGGGAGUAGCAGUCUGAGAUACAGGCUAUUUGUCUCAUAGAUUUGGUAGCCAGAAUUUGUCUAGAAUUGGCAAAAAAAAAGUAGUCAUCUACUGAUACUUGGAAAAAAUUAUUGAAUGUAGAUAUGUAAUUUACUGGAACGAUGAGACAGUCCUCAUGUCAUAAUUUUUAUUAAAAAAUCACCCUGCAGACUAAAGAGUACCCACUGGUACUGAAUAGUGUCCUGUAGGCACUGAUCUUAGCCUAACACUGACAACGUAUUCUCCAGGCACAAUCUCUGCUUUGCUUUUCUUUCCUGUGCUCUGCCCAGAAAUCCCAAAGGUAUCUCUGGGAAGAUUUUUCUUUCAAUGGGGAAAUGUUUUGUUCAGCCACAUACUCAAGUUCACCACUGGAUGUGUUUUUCCCUUUGCAGUGUGCUUCAGGAUGCCUUGCUCCAUGGUGAGAGCCUCAGAAUCCAGCAGAGCAUUCCUUGGGUGUGAACUUCCCUGCCUGUUUCCCUGCUCAGGUUCCUCUCAGACACAAGAUUCUGCAGGCUAUUUUGGUUGGUCCUGCCAUGAAGAUUACUGCAAAUUCAUUGAAGAAAAAAACCAGAAGCUAAUAUUGGUGACAAGAAGGAUAAAAGCAGAAACACAGCAACAAAUACUUUGCCUGUUUGAGAGAAAGAUUUGAAACUUUACCCAGCUUGGAAGAGGGUGCAGAGCAACCAGAAAAUCUGCUCAAGAAUAAGAUGAAGCCAACAGUUUCCUUCAGAAGUUCAGAGUAGGCCCUUCUUUGCACCUGCCAUCUCUGUGCAGACAGGGUUAUGACAUUUUUGACAGAAAAAGUUUCAACCCAAAUACGAUAUUAUGUACUUCCUAUGCUAGGACUGCAUUCCACUAAAUUGUUUUUCCCUUUGCUACAAAAUAAUUUUGCUUGUUUAACAAGCUCCACUGAAAUGGAAAUGAACUACAGCUUCUCAUAACGUAAUUUGCACAGGUCUGUGUUGUGGAAGGUUAUGUUGAUAGAAAUUAGUAUAAUCAGGUUGCGACACAUGCCACAUAUUUAACAAGGAAAGGGAAUGAGAUUUUUAAGAAAAAAAAAUCAGCUCUGGAGAGACAGUAGAGCUGAGGACCUCUUCUUUCUCCCCUUUCCAACAGCUGCUAAUACUUUUCCAAGCUUUCUUACUUCCUUUCCACAUUUAUGGAUCUAAGCUUGUUGGUUGUAUCCAAGUGGCACCUGAGGUUGGAUUCUGACUUCAGUGAGGCAUUUCUAAAAUACGUACUGACACACUGUUCAUGGAAAUGGUAUCCUGCCUGUGACUUAACAGGAGCACCACACCUCUCAGCCACCCCAUCUUUUCCUCUCUGCAGCACCCAGUAUGUGCUUGCCCACAGGCUUGCUUUCCUUCCCAUGCCUCUUAGAGUUUGCCAGUCUGGACUGGUACAACAGCAAGUGAAUAUCAGUGAAAACGUCUCAUUUUUUAAUUGAAGCUUAUUGUGGAGAAAAGCCCUACAGGGAUCCAUGAAGAGAAGUUAAUGGGGCAGUGGAACCCUCCUGGGGCCUGGUAGACUCCUGGAAGUGUACAAAUGUGUGAGGAAAGUAUAUGGGAAUCCAGCCAGGCUUAUCAAGCCUUUUGCCUUUGGGAACUCUCACUUGCACUCUGUUGGAACUUUCCAUGUGACCAAGGAAGUUGUCAUGCACAUAGAUAGGGGCUUUCAGUAAAAAGAGAGAUCAAGAGAGGACCAUGUGGAAAAGAAAGAAAGGAUGGUCAACAUACCAAGAACUGGUCUUAAACUGUGAACAAAGCGUCCUUCUGAUGCAUUAAACAGAAUAUGGUGACAGCCUCCUGGCUGGUGCAAAAUAUAUUCCAUUCCUAAACUGCCAUCAGAGAUUAUUAUCCUUCCAAUUGGAUGUGAUGGAAAAGAGGUUUACAGUUUUGCACUGCCGAUAAGCAAGUACACCCUGAAAGCCAGCCUCCAGUUUUCUCAAUGAAAAGGCCCACAACCUCAGGUGCUAUGCUUCCACUGACAUCCUAGAAGGGAAAAAAUGGAUUUUAUAGGAUGCCACUGUUACUUUUCCACCCUGUUGGGCUGUGCAUUUGCUAAUCCAUCCCCUUCGCUACAUUCAAGGAAAGAAGAAAAUGCAGAAAGAGUUAAUGAGACAUGUUGGAUGUGGAAAAUGACUGCUCCCAAAAGAGACGUUUUUGGUCCUGUGAAGAGGUAGGAGUUAGAGAGAACAUGAAUCACUUGACUAAUCUGUACAAAAUGGGCUUAGUGAGCUUCUCCUUCAAAUCUUAUCCCCACAUUAGAUAGCAUUAAACCAGUUGUCAUUAAGCUAACAUUUCCAGAUGCUCUGGUGAGCCAUUUGCCUGAUAGCCCUGUUCCUCUUAAGAAAAGAACUGAAAAUGCUUUAAAAACGAGGCCAGUACAUCUGCAGAAGCAAAUGGCUGGAAUUUAAUUGGCAGUUUCUAAAACUUACACAGAUCCAGUUUAGAGCCUAAGUGGGGUAAAUUCAAAAGCGUAUCAAUAUUAUUGUCAAUAAUCAGUUACCUGUUGCACUGACAACAUCUAAACUAUUCUAUCAUAAUUUAAUAGUGUUGUUCUUUAACAAUUGGAUUUUGUUACACUUUUAUAUUUAGGCACGAUUAUUUAAUCUAAUUUAAUUGGCUUUCUUAUUCCCCUCAGGGUUCUGGGCCUAGAAAGUUCAUGUUAAAUACUCUAAUUGCUCUGAAAUUUACUUGUCUUCUAAAAUAUGCUCCUAUUUUAAAUAUACCCUAAAAUCUAGUUCAUACAUAUUUUCUCUUCUUUCAUGAAUUAAAAAAUAAUUCUGUUGUCCAUGAUUUGCACUUAAAAAGAGUCAAUAAUUAACUAAAAUAAUAAUUAUAGAUUGAAAACAGGGAGGAUGCAGUACAACAAACUGUGAGUUACAUAAAUAAGGCCAGGAGCACACAUCAAAGCUUUCUGAGCACCUGCUAAUCUCCAGAAGCAGAGCUGAAGCCGCUAACGAUGGCAGCAGCAGCACCCUGCAUGCUUAAUGUGUGGGUCUCUGAGUUUCACCGUGGAACAGUGCUCAGGAGCAAAAGAGCAUCGGGGGCUCACAGACAGUGGGGCCAGCCCCAUCCUCCUUGCAGAUGGUGAUUUCCCAUUGAUGCUGCAUGGAGAUUUUGGCUGUGCGAGUCAGCAUCAAUUAUGGCAGCAGCCACAAGGCACUCACACACACCGUGAGAAGGAGGGCUUGGUGUGGCCCUGGGAGCACCGCCACGAAAAGUGUGCUCUAAAACCUCUUGGUCUUUCAUGUGUCAGAGCCAGGUGAUGGGGUGGGAUCCAGAUCCAUUAGUAAGGUCACAUAUGGAUAGCAGAGGCCAGAUGCUGAUUUCAGAACACAGAGGUGGCUCUGCUUGUCAACAUGCUCCUCAGCUUGGCAGGGACCAGGGGUGGGAUGGGACUGGUGGGAUGGCAGCUGAAACAAAUACCUGGGAGAAGGGAGUGUUUCUCCUUUCCUUCCUAUCAACACAGUGUUUAAUGAAAAGGUGAGGGGCUGCCAGAGGUAUCUUCUGUGCAUUUAGAUUUUAAUGUGGAAUGCUGUUUCUGCCUACUCACAAUCCAUUUUACAGUCCCUUAGCUCUGGCUAUUUCUGUUCUUUUCUUAUCUCAGGCGUCUACCAAAGGCUAUUAAAUAGAUGUCACAGAACAUUCUGAGUUCAAAGGGGCCCACAAGGAUCACUGAGUCCAACUCUUAAGCAAACGGCCCAUAGAGGGAUUGAACCCACAACCCUGGUGUUGUUAGCACCAUGCUCACACCAACUGAGAUAAUCUAAGGUCCGAAAACGUGACCCAGCUCAGGACACUUGGGUGAUGCUGACGGAUGAACACAGGGAGGAGGUAUUAAGGGAGAGUUUCGGUGCCGCUCAGGAGUGAGGGCAUCUUGAGGGGAACGGAGCCUGGCAAGGACAGCCCUGCAAUGCUCCAGGCAAGGCUUUUGAGGGAUUCUGCAGGAGGAGCCUUUCCUUGUGGAAGUUCUGUGUAAGACACACGGUUCCCAGGUGUGCCAGUGUGCCGGGGGAACGCCUGUAUGAGUGACUUGUAAUUCAGAGUUCAGAAUAGCAGGAUGGGGAAUGGCUUCUGGGCCCACAGCUGCGUAAUUACCACAAACACAAACCCUUCUUUCCCAGGACAGAAGCCGAUAUU